rnacentral:rRNA from 1 species
UACGGAGGGGGCUAGCGUUGUUCGGAAUUACUGGGCGUAAAGCGCGCGUAGGCGGCUUUGUAAGUUAGAGGUGAAAGCCCGAAGCUCAACUUCGGAGUUGCCUUUAAGACUGCAUCGCUAGAAUUGUGGAGAGGUAAGUGGAAUUCCGAGUGUAGAGGUGAAAUUCGUAGAUAUUCGGAAGAACACCAGUGGCGAAGGCGACUUACUGGACACAUAUUGACGCUGAGGUGCGAAAGCGUGGGGAGCAAACAGG